CCUACGGGUGGCUGCAGUGGGGAAUAUUGCACAAUGGGCGCAAGCCUGAUGCAGCCAUGCCGCGUGUGUGAAGAAGGCCUUCGGGUUGUAAAGCACUUUCAGCGGGGAGGAAGGCGGUGAGGUUAAUAACCUCAUCGAUUGACGUUACCCGCGGAAGAAGCACCGGCUAACUCCGUGCCAGCAGCCGCGGUAAUACGGAGGGUGCAAGCGUUAAUCGGAAUUACUGGGCGUAAAGCGCACGCAGGCGGUCUGUCAAGUCGGAUGUGAAAUCCCCGGGCUCAACCUGGGAACUGCAUUCGAAACGGGCAGGCUAGAGUCUUGUAGAGGGGGGUGGAAUUCCAGGUGUAGCGGUGAAAUGCGUAGAGAUCUGGAGGAAUACCGGUGGCGAAGGCGGCCCCCUGGACAAAGACUGACGCUCAGGUGCGAAAGCGUGGGGAGCAAACAGGAUUAGAUACCCGAGUAGUC
rnacentral:rRNA from 1 species